UUAAGUUCAACCAUCAAUUCCUUUAGGUCAUAAUGGCAUCGCUAUCGAGGGCUAGGUUUUGGAUCUAAAGCAAUUCAUGAUAGUGCCAAAAUAUUGAAGGACCACAAACCCAUACAAUAUUUUUUUGCAUAGGCUUUGUUGGAGCAGUAGACAAGUGUACCUAAUGUAAGCACUUUUUUCUUAUUUAUUUUGGUAUUUG
rnacentral:lncRNA from 1 species